CGCGGCCUAUCAGCUUGUUGGUGAGGUAACGGCUCACCAAGGCGAAGACGGGUAGCUGGCGUGAGAGCGCGACCAGCCACACUGGGACUGAGACACGGCCCAGACUCCUACGGGAGGCAGCAGUGGGGAAUCUUGCGCAAUGGGCGAAAGCCUGACGCAGCGACGCCGCGUGAGGGAGGAAGGCCUUCGGGUCGUAAACCUCUGUCCGGUGGGACGAACCGUGGGUCGGUGACAGCCGGCCCGCCUGACGGUACCGCCGAUAGGAAGCUCCGGCUAACUCCGUGCCAGCAGCCGCGGUAACACGGGGGGAGCAAGCGUUGUCCGGAAUCACUGGGCGUGCAGGGCGCGUAGGCGGCCGGGUAAGUCGCGUGUGAAAGGCCACGGCUCAACCGUGGACGGCCACGCGAUACUGUCCGGCUAGAGACAGGCAGGGGCGAGCGGAACUCCCGGUGUAGCGGUGGAAUGCGUAGAUAUCGGGAAGAACACCCGUGGCGAAGGCGGCUCGCUGGGCCUGAUCUGACGCUGAAGCGCGAAAGCGUGGGGAGCGAACAGGAUUAGAUACCCUGGUAGUCCACGCCGUAAACGCUGGGCACUAGAUGUUGGAGGGCUAGGCCCCUUCAGUGUCGCAGCUAACGCAUUAAGUGCCCCGCCUGGGGAGUACGG
rnacentral:rRNA from 1 species